GUGUCUGUAGCUCAGUGGAUAGAGCGUUUAUUUCCUGAGCAGAAGGUCGUAGGUUCGAACCCCUACCUGACGUG
rnacentral:tRNA from 1 species